CCCUUAGAUGUCCUGGGCUGCACGCGCGCUACACUGAUGUGUCCAGUAAGCACCUAACCUAUUCCGAGAGGAGCGGGUAACCUUAGCAAAGCACAUCGUGAUGGGGAUAGAUUAUUGCAAUUAUUAGUCUUGAACGAGGAAUCCCUAGUAAGCACAAGUCAUCAGCUUGUGUUGAUUACGUCCCUGCCCUUUGUACACACCGCCCGUCGCUCCUACCGAUUGAAUGUUCCGGUGAGCUCUUCGGACUGCGCGGUCUGCAGUUUCUGCGUUCCGUGCGGAAAGUUGUGCAAACCUUAACAUUUAGAGGAAGGAGAAGUCGUAACA
rnacentral:rRNA from 1 species